UCCUACGGGAGGCAGCAGUAAGGAAUAUUGGUCAAUGGGCGGAAGCCUGAACCAGCCAUGCCGCGUGCAGGAAGACGGCCUUAUGGGUUGUAAACUGCUUUUGUCAGGGAAUAAACCCUCG
rnacentral:rRNA from 1 species